AUUGAACGCUGGCGGCAGGCCUAACACAUGCAAGUCGAGCGGAGCGGCGGACGGGAGAGUAAUGCCUAGGAAUCUGCCUGGUAGUGGGGUAUAACGGUCGGAAACGGGCGAUAAUACUACAUACUAUCACUGGAGCCUAGGCCGGAUUGGCUAGUUGGAGGGGUAAAGGCCUACCAAGGUGACGAUCCCUAGCUGGUCUGAGAGGAUGAGCAGCCAAACGGGAACUGAGACACGGCCCAGACUCCGAAGGGAGGCAGCAGUGGGGAAUAUGGCACAAUGGGCGCAAGCCUGACGCAGACAUGCCGCGUGUAUGAAGAAGGCCUUCGGGUUGUAAAGUACUUUCAGCGGGGAGGCGUUACCCGAAGAAGAAGCACCGGCUAACUCCGUGCCAGCCGCCGCGGUAAUUC
rnacentral:rRNA from 1 species